rnacentral:rRNA from 1 species
UACAGAGGUCUCAAGCGUUGUUCGGAUUCAUUGGGCGUAAAGGGUGCGUAGGCGGCGAGGUAAGUCGGAUGUGAAAUCCCGGGGCUCAACCCCGGAACUGCAUUCGAUACUGCCCCGCUGGAGGACUGGAGAGGAGACUGGAAUUCACGGUGUAGCAGUGAAAUGCGUAGAUAUCGUGAGGAAGACCAGUGGCGAAGGCGGGUCUCUGGACAGUUCCUGACGCUGAGGCACGAAGGCCAGGGGAGCAAAC